AUUGAACGCUGGCGGCAUGCUUUACACAUGCAAGUCGAACGGCAGCGGGGGCUUCGGCCUGCCGGCGAGUGGCGAACGGGUGAGUAAUGCAUCGGAACGUGCCCAGUCGUGGGGGAUAACACAUCGAAAGAUGUGCUAAUACCGCAUACGUCCUGAGGGAGAAACGGGGGAUCUUCGGACCUCGCGCGAUUGGAGCGGCCGAUGUCGGAUUAGCUAGUUGGUGGGGUAAAGCCACCAAGGCGACGAUCCGUAGCGGGUCUGAGAGGAUGAUCCGCCACACUGGGACUGAGACACGGCCCAGACUCCUACGGGAGGCAGCAGUGGGGAAUUUUGGACAAUGGGGGCAACCCUGAUCCAGCCAUGCCGCGUGAGUGAAAAGGCCUCGGUGUAAGCUCUUCGUACGGAAGAAACGCGCCUCUAACAUAGGCGGUGGAGUGACGGUA
rnacentral:rRNA from 1 species